GGCGCUUUGACGGAGUGGUUAACGUGAUUGACUCGAAACGAGGGCCUUCAUUGCCUUCGUGUGCUAUCAAUUUCCUUCGGGAGCGCAGGUUCGAAUCCUGCAGGCGUCG